GCCUGGGUGGCUCAGUUGGUUAAGCAUCCGACUUUGGCUCAGAUCAUGAUGUCACGGUUCGUGGGUUCAAGCCCCGCGUCGGGCU
rnacentral:tRNA from 1 species